rnacentral:lncRNA from 1 species
UGGGCUGCUGAAGUGGAGCAUGCAAACUUAACCACUCGGCCACGGAGCUGGCCCCACGAAAAGACAGAGAAGGCCUGGAGCACUGUAGAGUGGUGACUGCACCUUGUAGACCUCUAACUACAUGGAUUGUAAUCGACCAAGGGCCCCCACUGCUUCGUUCUGAAAUCCAUAGCAGGAUUUGUAUUGAGUCCAUGCUCCCCACUGGGAGCUACUGGCCAAUAACUGUGUGUGCAAGGAUACUAGGGCUUCUCUGACAGUUGACUUUGGCUCUAGCACUCCAUGAGGGCCUUGCCAAAC